rnacentral:rRNA from 1 species
GGGCCCGCACAAGCGGUGGAGUAUGUGGUUUAAUUCGAAGCAACGCGCAGAACCUUACCAACCCUUGACAUCCUGUGCUACAUCCAGAGAUGAAUUGGUGCCUUCGGGAACUCUGAGACAGGUGCUGCAUGGCUGUCGUCAGCUCGUGUUGUGAAAUGUUGGGUUAAGUCCCGCAACGAGCGCAACCCUUAUCCUUGUUUGCCAGCGAGUAAUGUCGGGAACUCCAGGGAGACUGCCGGUGAUAAACCGGAGGAAGGUGGGGACGACGUCAAGUCAUCAUGGCCCUUACGAGUAGGGCUACACACGUGCUACAAUGGCGCAUACAGAGGGCAGCCAACUUGCGAGAGUGAGCGAAUCCUAAAAAGUGCGUCGUAGUCCGGAUCGGAGUCUGCAACUCGACUCCGUGAAGUCGGAAUCGCUAGUAAUCG